rfam:Erwinia billingiae strain Eb661 complete chromosome.
CAAGCAUGAAUGCUGCUAUUUUCCGUUUCUUUUUUUACUUUAGCACCUGAAUAUCGGGGCUUGUGCGCAAAGAAAAGAAACGAAAAAUCGCGCUUAAAGCCUCCCCCGUGGAGGCUUUUUUGUU